CCUACGGGGGGCAGCAGUCGAGAAUCAUUCACAAUGGGGGAAACCCUGAUGGGGCGACGCCGCGUGGGGGAAUGAAGGUCUUCGGAUUGUAAACCCCUGUCAUGUGGGAGCAAAUUAAAAAGAUAGUACCACAAGAGGAAGAGACGGCGAACUCUGGGCCAGCAGCCGCGGUAAUACAGAGGUCUCAAGCGUUGUUCGGAAUCACUGGGCGUAAAGGGUGCGUAGGCUGUUUCGUAAGUCGUGUGUGAAAGGCGCGGGCUCAACCCGCGGACGGCACCUGAUACUGCGAGACUAGAGUAAUGGAGGGGGAACCGGAAUUCUCGGUGUAGCCGUGAAAUGCGUAGAUAUCGAGCGGAACACUCGUGGCGAAGGCGGGUUCCUGGACAUUAACUGACGCUGAGGCACGAAGGCCCGGGGAGCGAAAGGGAUUAGAUACCCGAGUAGUC
rnacentral:rRNA from 1 species